GGUGGCCUGUGAGGGUUGCUGGAGGUAUCAGAAGUGCGAAUGCUGACAUAAGUAACGAUAAAGCGGGUGAAAAGCCCGCUCGCCGGAAGACCAAGGGUUCCUGUCCAACGUUAAUCGGGGCAGGGUGAGUCGACCCCUAAGGCGAGGCCGAAAGGCGUAGUCGAUGGGAAACGGGUUAAUAUUCCCGUACUUGGUGUUACUGCGAAGGGGGGACGGAGAAGGCUAUGUUGGCCGGGCGACGGUUGUCCCGGUUUAAGCGUGUAGGUGUGUGUUCCAGGUAAAUCCGGUUCACUUUAACACUGAGGCGUGACGACGAGGCACUACGGUGCUGAAGCAACAAAUGCCCUGCUUCCAGGAAAAGCCUCUAAGCAUCAGGUAACAUCAAAUCGUACCCCAAACCGACACAGGUGGUCAGGUAGAGAAUACCAAGGCGCUUGAGAGAACUCGGGUGAAGGAACUAGGCAAAAUGGUGCCGUAACUUCGGGAGAAGGCACGCUGACACGUAGGUGAAGUGAUUUACUCAUGGAGCUGAAGUCAGUCGAAGAUACCAGCUGGCUGCAACUGUUUAUUAAAAACACAGCACUGUGCAAACACGAAAGUGGACGUAUACGGUGUGACGCCUGCCCGGUGCCGGAAGGUUAAUUGAUGGGGUCAGCGCAAGCGAAGCUCCUGAUCGAAGCCCCGGUAAACGGCGGCCGUAACUAUAACGGUCCUAAGGUAGCGAAAUUCCUUGUCGGGUAAGUUCCGACCUGCACGAAUGGCGUAAUGAUGGCCAGGCUGUCUCCACCCGAGACUCAGUGAAAUUGAACUCGCUGUGAAGAUGCAGUGUACCCGCGGCAAGACGGAAAGACCCCGUGAACCUUUACUAUAGCUUGACACUGAACAUUGAGCCUUGAUGUGUAGGAUAGGUGGGAGGCUU
rnacentral:rRNA from 1 species